AGAAAUCAGGCUCUCUUAAGCUCACUAAUUUUGGUCAUUGAAGUGAACUGAAAUGAAAGGAUAUAAUUUAUUCUCUUGCUUCAUUACAGAAUCUUGCUGCUGAGAAAACAUACAAUAACCUAGAUAUCACGGUGACCCAGGCCCUUCAGCACCGUUCACAGUAUUUUGAAGGUGUUGUGAAGUGCAAUAAGCUGGAAAUACUGGAGACCAUCGUGGACAGAAUAGUAAGAGCUGAGGUCCAUCGGCUGGUGGUGGUAAAUGAAGCAGAUAGUAUUGUGGGUAUUAUUUCCCUGUCGGACAUUCUGCAAGCCCUGAUCCUCACACCAGCAGGUGCCAAACAAAAGGAGACAGAAACGGAGUGACCGCCGUGAAUGUAGACGCCCUAGGAGGAGAACUUGAACAAAGUCUCUGGGUCACGUUUUGCCUCAUGAACACUGGCUGCAAGUGGUUAAGAAUGUAUAUCAGGGUUUAACAAUAGGUAUUUCUUCCAGUGAUGUUGAAAUUAAGCUUAAAAAAGAAAGAUUUUAUGUGCUUGAAGAUUCAGGCUUGCAUUAAAAGACUGUUUUCAGA
rnacentral:lncRNA from 1 species